GUGUCAGCCGCCGCGGUAAUACGUAGGGAGCGAGCGUUGUCCGGAAUUACUGGGCGUAAAGGGCGCGUAGGCGGUUGUUCAAGUCACAUGUGAAAUACCCGGGCUCAACUUGGGGGGUGCAUGUGAAACUGGAUAACUUGAGUGUGGUAGAGGAAAGUGGAAUUCCUAGUGUAGCGGUGAAAUGCGUAGAUAUUAGGAGGAACACCAGUGGCGAAGGCGACUUUCUGGGCCACAACUGACGCUGAGGCGCGAAAGCGUGGGGAGCAAACAGGAUUAGAUACCCUGGUAGUCCACGCUGUAAACGAUGAAUGCUAGGUGUAGGAGGUAUCGACCCCUUCUGUGCCGCAGCUAACGCAAUAAGCAUUCCGCCUGGGGAGUACGGCCGCAAGGUUGAA
rnacentral:rRNA from 1 species